ACAAACGCUGGCGGCGUGCUUAAUACAUGCAAGUUCAAUUGGAGUAACGGUAGCAAUACUGUUACAACGAUGGCGCACGGGUGCGUAACGCGUAGGUAAUCUGCCCUUAGGUCUGACAUAAACCCGCCGAAAGGCGAGCUAAUAUCAGAUGAUGCAGCGGCUUGACAUCAAGACAGUUGUUAAAGCUUCGGCGCCUGAGGAUGAGCCUGCGUCUGAUUAGGUAGUUGGCGGAGUAAAAGCCCACCAAGCCCACGAUCAGUAGCUGGUCUGAGAGGAUGAUCAGCCACACUGGAACUGAGACACGGUCCAGACUCCUACGGGAGGCAGCAGUAAAGGAAUAUUGCUCAAUGGCCGAAAGGCUGAAGCAGCAACGCCGCGUGAAGGAUGAAGGCCUUUAGGUCGUAAACUUCUGUAAAGAGAGAAAAAUGCCCCGCUCUGCGGAGUGAUUGUAUCUCUGAAGUAAGCCCCGCUAACUACGUGCCAGCAGCCGCGGUAAUACGUAGGGGGCAAGCGUGUCCGGAUUUACUGGGUGUGAAGGUGCUCAGGUGGCUUGGAAGUCAUUGGUGAAAUCUGAGAGCUUAACUCUCAAACUGCCAUUGAUACUUCUUAGCUUGAGUACGGAAGAGGCUGAUGGAAUUCAGGUGUAGCAGUGAAAUGCGUAAUAUCUGAAAGACACCAGUGGCGAAGGCGGUCAGCUGGUCCUUUACUGACACUAUAGCACGAAAGCGUGGGUAGCAAACAGGAUUAGAUACCCUGGUAGUCCACGCCCUAAACGAUGAAUACUAGACGUUGGAUGUAAAAAUUCAGUGUCGAAAGCUAACGCAUUAAGUAUUCCACCUGGGGAGUACGAUCGCAAGGUUGAAACUCAAAGGAAUUGACGGGGCCCGCACAGCAUUGGAGCAGGUGUUCAAUUCAAUGCAACGCGAAGAACCUUACCUGGGCUUGAAACGCAGAUUAAGGGGAAUGACAAGUUCCCGUGCCGCAAGGCGAAUCUGUACAGGUGCUGCAUGGCGGUCGUCAGCUCGUGCCGUGAGGUGUUGGGUUAAGUCCCCGCAACGAUCGCAACCCUUGUUUCUAGUUGCUACCGGAUAAUGCCGGGCACUCUAGAAAGACUGCCUACGCAAGUAGUGAGGAAGGGUGGGAUGAGUCAAGUCCGCAUGGCCCUUACGCCCAGGGCCACACACGUGCUCAAUGGCUACUACAAAGAGCAGCUAAACCGCGAGGUCAUGCCAAUCUCUAAAAAGUAGUCCUCAGUUCGGAUUGGAGUCCUGAAACUCGACUCCAUGAAGCUGGAAUUGCUAGUAAUCGUGGAUCAGCACGCCACGGUGAAUACGUUCCCGGCCUUGUACACACCGCCCGUCAAGCCAUGGAAGUUGGGGGUACCCGAAGUCGCCUUUAAUAAGCGCCGAAGGUAAAACCAAUGACUGGGGCU
rnacentral:rRNA from 1 species